GGAGGAGGAGAAGAAGAAGAAGAAGAAGAAGAAGAAGAAGAAGAAGAAGAAGAAGAAGAAGAAGAAGAAAACUAAAAAACAUAGAAGGAAAAAAGGGCGUGUGCUUUUUUAGGGGCAACUACGAAAAAAUAUAGACUGAGAAAUAUAGACUCUGCUUUAAGUGAUUCUGUCAAGGGUCUUAUUAGAUAUAUACAGUUAUGACCACUUUUGCCACUUAAUACUUAGCAGAAUGCUUUACAGUCAUCACCAUAUAAGCAUGUACAACAAAGAGAUAAAGACACGGACUUACUUGUUUGUUACCAAAUAUCACACGGGAGGUCAGAUGAGGAAGGCGAGAAACCCAGGGUUUUUCUUUUUCUUAUAAACUCUGAUGACACAUAGUCUCAAUAAUGAAAGAUUUCAGGGACAAAGAAAAGCUACUGAGAUAUGUAAAUGCAGUUAUAAGAAAGCAAUAGGUCAAAUAAAGGUUUUAAAUAACUUAAUGAACACAUAUGAGACCAAGUUUGAGAAGACAAGGUUUGACUUGCCUUUAACAAGUCAAUUUCCUUAGACCAAACUUCAUCAAAAAAAAAAAAAGUUAGCAUAAAUUAUGUCUAAAAUCUCUCUGAAUAAGGAAGGAAUCAUGAUAAGAUAGAAAGGGUACAGAUUUUAGGGUCAUUAUUGCCUGGAUUUUAAUCUAAAAUUCAUCACAUAUUGGUUGCGUGAGCAGUGGCAAAUGAAUUAACCUUCACGAGUCUAAAUUUACUCUCGGAAUAAGUACCAUCAGGAUUGUUGUGGGAAUUAUAAACAAUGGAAAUAAGCACUUGGCACAGAACUUGGCACAUAGUAGACACCAAAAUAUAUUAUUUCCUCCUAUUCCUUUAUUACCUUAAAAUUCUAUGAAUUAUAGAAGCCAGAUUACCCAGGUUAUAAUUUAAAGAUUAUUGUCUCUAGGUCUUUCUUCUGAAGUGAACUUGUGCUAGUAACUAUGCUUAUUCAUGAGUUAAACUAUGGUUAAUAUAUAUGCUUUGCCUCUUCUCUGCUUGUUGUAAUAAAAUAAACAAUAUAAAAUCACAGCCACAAAAAAGCUUUACUCAUAGACAGGGAAGCAAUUAGCACUUCUGGGUGUGUACAGGGUUCUAGCUGAUUUGUCUGCAGUAUCAUCUCAACUUCAUUACAAUACUGUGAUGAGUUAUUUCACAAGUGAGAAAACCCUGAAAAGGUAAGUAACGUGGCUAAGGCCACCCAACUGUUAAGCCACAGAGCAGCAGAGUGAGUGCAGGUGUCCUCACCUAGCCACUCUACACAGGACUUCUGAAGCACCAAGCGAGAAAAGGAAGAAAAGUCCAUGUUAAUUCAUCAUAUAUUCUAAUACACUUCAGCUGCAGAUUAAAGGAACCAUGCCAGUUGCUGCUACCGCAGAGAACGGAGAAAUCCUCUACGAGCCCCAUGGGUUUACAGAAGUCUAUCCAUCACUCUGUCAGUCUUCCGGAUCAUUAUUCAAGUUGCUAUCCCCAAUUUUGCUGGAUAUAUCAGAUCAACUCCAGCUCCAUAGUCCCGUUCCCAGGAUCUAGAACAGCACCUGAUACCAGAUAACUGUUGGUUGAAUGGAUGAUUAAAUUAUAAAAUGCAAGUCAAGGAACAGAGCAACAGGAGUUUGGAGUGGAACCGGAUCACACACAUCUUCUGAUCACUAUAUAAAUAUUUUCCCAGAUGAUCCUAACAAAUAAGGCUACAAGACGGAUAGUGUGCUUUCUUCCUAUAUUUAAAGACAGCAAAGUGGAAAGCUGAUGAAUAUUAUAAGGACACACUGAAUAGUGCAUCGUUACUAUGGCAAUAAAAAAGAGAACCAAUGUCCACAUAUUUUUUGGUAAAAUUCCAUCUCUCUGGGUAAAAUUUUACAGUUCUCUGCAUUAGAUGUAAGCAAAUAUUCUUCAUGUAACAUUUUAAAUUAAAUAUUUCCAUUGAAUUUA